GAGGGAAAGGCGAAAAGAACCCCGGCGAGGGGAGUGAAAAAGAACCUGAAACCGUGUACGUACAAGCAGUGGGAGCCCCACCACUAAGCCAGUGGUGAACUCCACAUACGCAUCCUUUGCUGAGGAUGCGGUUAACGGAGCGAAAGCGACGUUCAACCGCAAAAGAAGCAGAGGGGGCUUAGUGGUGGGGUGACUGCGUACCUUUUGUAUAAUGGGUCAGCGACUUAUAUUCUGUAGCAAGGUUAACCGAAUAGGGGAGCCGGAGGGAAACCGAGUCUUAAUUGGGCGUUAAGUUGCAGGGUAUAGACCCGAAACC
rnacentral:rRNA from 2 species